GUAGAUCAGCGGAAGAUCGCCGCUUUCGCAAAGCGGAGGCCGUGGGUUCAAAUCCCACC
rnacentral:tRNA from 1 species